ACACGCAGCAGAGUGCCUUGUCCGCGCGGCAGCCAGCCCGCGAAGGCGGAGAUCGACGCCCCGACGAGGCCUAGGACUUCGGGAUCCUGCCACGCCGGCCCGAGGGAGAGCGCCUUGGUGCGCCUCCCCGAGGAGGUGCUCGGACGCUGGCUCGUGAGGAUCAACUGCAGGGUGGGGGACGUGGUUAAACCUGUGGGCCCGUAGGAGAAUCGUGAGCCAACCACGAAUGAGGCCGCCCAGCCCCUGGCCUGAGGCAGGCCCGGAGGGCAGGAGGGCAGGAGGGCAGCAGUGGGUGUCAGGGUUUGCCCUCUGGGGGUGAGCUGGGUGAGGAGCGGAGGGCAGGAGCACCCACUCUGCCGACGCGGGUGACCGUGAAGCGCGCCCCUGAGGACUCCACGAGCCUGGGUAGCCUUUCGUCAUCUAGUGGGGCCGGUUUAGCUCCCAGACUCAGAAGAAGCUUGUUAACGUGGACAAGUUGUAAGCCAAGAGAUCUAAACCCCUAGAAAUAUCAGUGAUAUUUCUGGGAGUAAAACUGUCUAUUUUAAAGUUUCUAGUAUUGCAGAUUGAAAGAUCUUUGAGGCCUCCUAGAUGGUAAGGCACGGAAUGAUUGCACUCAGCUUCCCAAAUUUGAAUUUAAAAUGCUUCAAUGCUGGGAAGUGACUCGACUUGAUUUUGCUGGUAACCUGCAAAUAAGACUUUUCCCUAGAUUAUACUGGCAGCGAUCUGAAAAAAAGUACAGACUAGUCCCAGAAGUCAGGACGUACUUAGGAUACGGCACUAUAAUUCCAAAUGAUUCUAGAUGUAUGAAUAAAGUAUGAACAUCCUUGAGGAUGACGGAGAGAGGGACUUGGCUCCCCAGGCCAACUCUGACGUGUUUCUUAUCUCCCUCACUGGUGGAUAAGGAUCGAAAAUUCUGGUCCAGCCUAAUGAGUGAACGGGACGGCUGCCCACGAACCGGGUUAUUAGUUUUACCUCAUUGGAGCUCAUAUUCUCAAAGGCCCAAAGUGCUGUGCCGAGACGAAUCCGGGCGCUGCUCCCGCUGACGUGCGCGCUGACGCCCAGCUGCCCGCGCUUGCGGCGGGGCCGAGGCCAGGGAUUCCGUGGACCAAAAGAGAUGCCAGAAGGGAAGCCAGAGGAGCUGCGGUGCAAGACCCUAGAUAGAGAUUAUACCAAAGAGAUCCAGCCUUUCUGUCCUGAUGCUUCAAAGGUGAUGAGGUUGGGUGACGACAGCUGCCGUAGACGGAGAGCUCACAUACAUUCCAUGUCAAGGGAUCUGGCUGAUAAAAUGAUCCAUCCUCCAACAAAAGCACCUUUAAAAAAAAAAAUAAGUCCAUUUCGUAUAUUAGGGAAAAAGAGAAAGAAGAUGAUGGUGAUGGUGAUGAUGAAAGCUGCAGGCAGAUUGUAAGGUGCCCCAGGAUUUAAGGAGAAGGAACCAGUCGCUCUCCCCAUGACAUGACCGUGGCUGUUGCCCUGACUUCAGCCCGGGGACGUCAUACCCAUGGGAUUCUGACAGCUGGGCAACUUUUUCUAAGACGUGUGGCAGUUUCAAUAGGUUUGUUUAAAGAACUCCUGGGAGAUUUCUUAAAUCCUAGUCCUCUUUAUGCAGCUUCCUACGGAGGUGGUCACCGCUCGUCAUCAUCACCCCUACCUGUAAGGCCCCUGAUGCACAAGGUGCUAUACAGCUGUCAGCCGCCCCCGCGGCAGCUGUGGACGUUAGAGUAGGUUUUGCAUCAGCCACUGCGAGAAGCUUCCCCGCUUGGGGUGCGGGGCCUGCGUGCCCACCUCCCCUCACUCGCCUCUCCCUCCAGGAGCCUCUGGGCUUAUUCCAGCUUCUCACCUUUACCCAUCCCACUCACCCCCGUGCUUUUUUUUUAAUUAAGAAAGUUUCAGGGAAUCAAAAGAGGUCGGAAAUUUUUUAAUCUAGCAGAAGUAUAGAGUCAUAUAUUUUGCUACAAUUAUUAUUAUAAUAUGGAGAAUCCACUUUGCCCGUGUAGUGCGUGGAGAGUGUGUGUGUGUCUGCGCUCAUGAUAAUUUGAAUGUUGAACAGCCCUGUGGCUUCAGAGUAGCAUUUUGAAGGAUAAACCACACCGCUUCAGGAAACCUGCCCCGAGUACCACACAUCCCUUCCCUUACCGGUUUUUAAAGAGCUGAACACCCGGGGCUGGGGCUCUAGGCGACACAUGCAGGCCUGAGAUCGGCGCAGGGACACGUCGUCCUUCGCACGUUUGGCUCACGGCCGCCCUCACCCCGUCCCUCCCUCGUCCCCACGGCUCUGCUCACUCCGUAUUUGAACAAAUGUGUUUCCCUUGCUCUUUCCUGGAGCUUCAAGCCUCUACACACCUUAGAGUUGUGUAAACCCGCCAGGUAAGGUCCCCUCCGUCACAGGUGGUGCCGCCCUUGGUUUGCUGUGGUACUUUGCUGUGUUCUCUGUGGCAUCAUGUUACUGUGUAAAUAAAUUUGUUUUAAUAUAC
rnacentral:lncRNA from 1 species